GAAAAGGGUGGAAUCACGAACCUAAUUAUGUACACAUUAUGUAAACAAGUUGCUUGAAAACUCAAUUGUAUAGUGAACUGAAUCUGGAAUAGGAUAAUAUUACUUCUAAAACAUUCUUACAAAUUGAUUUGAAUUCCAAAAUCCCAUCGUUCCGUUCUUAUUUCAUUUUGCGAUAUAGUGAAAGGAAAUAAGUCAGCUCACAAAAAACGCAUAAUAUCAAGGAUUUUUUGAACUGCCCCCCAAAAGUUAGAUUUUUUCUGUCUAACUUUUGGGGGGCAGUUCAUA
rnacentral:sRNA from 1 species